rnacentral:rRNA from 1 species
GAGCGGAUCGAUGGGAGCUUGCUCCCUGAGAUCAGCGGCGCNUUNGNGAGUAACACGUGGGUAACCUGCCUGUAAGACUGGGAUAACUCCGGGAAACCGGGGCUAAUACCGGAUAACACCUACCCCCGCAUGGGGGAAGGUUGAAAGGUGGCUUCGGCUAUCACUUACAGAUGGACCCGCGGCGCAUUAGCUAGUUGGUGAGGUAAUGGCUCACCAAGGCGACGAUGCGUAGCCGACCUGAGAGGGUGAUCGGCCACACUGGGACUGAGACACGGCCCAGACUCCUACGGGAGGCAGCAGUAGGGAAUCUUCCGCAAUGGACGAAAGUCUGACGGAGCAACGCCGCGUGAGUGAAGAAGGUUUUCGGAUCGUAAAACUCUGUUGUUAGGGAAGAACAAGUGCCGUUCGAAUAGGGCGGCGCCUUGACGGUACCUAACCAGAAAGCCACGGCUAACUACGUGCCAGCAGCCGCGGUAAUACGUAGGUGGCAAGCGUUGUCCGGAAUUAUUGGGCGUAAAGCGCGCGCAGGUGGUUUCUUAAGUCUGAUGUGAAAGCCCACGGCUCAACCGUGGAGGGUCAUUGGAAACUGGGGAACUUGAG